CCUACGGGAGGCAGCAGUGGGGAAUAUUGCACAAUGGGGGGAACCCUGAUGCAGCCAUGCCGCGUGUGUGAAGAAGGCCUUCGGGUUGUAAAGCACUUUCAGUUGUGAGGAAGGGUUGAUGGUUAAUACCCAUCAGCAUUGACGUUAGCAACAGAAGAAGCACCGGCUAACUCCGUGCCAGCAGCCGCGGUAAUACGGAGGGUGCGAGCGUUAAUCGGAAUUACUGGGCGUAAAGCGCACGUAGGCGGUUUGUUAAGCUAGAUGUGAAAGCCCCGGGCUUAACCUGGGACGGUCAUUUAGAACUGGCAAGCUAGAGUCUUGGAGAGGGGAGUGGAAUUCCAGGUGUAGCGGUGAAAUGCGUAGAUAUCUGGAGGAACAUCAGUGGCGAAGGCGGCUCCCUGGCCAAAGACUGACGCUCAUGUGCGAAAGUGUGGGUAGCG
rnacentral:rRNA from 1 species